GACGAACGCUGGCGGCGUGCUUAACACAUGCAAGUCGAACGGAAAGGCCCUGCUUUUGUGGGGUGCUCGAGUGGCGAACGGGUGAGUAACACGUGAGUAACCUGCCCUUGACUUUGGGAUAACUUCAGGAAACUGGGGCUAAUACCGGAUAGGAGCUCCUGCUGCAUGGUGGGGGUUGGAAAGUUUCGGCGGUUGGGGAUGGACUCGCGGCUUAUCAGCUUGUUGGUGGGGUAGUGGCUUACCAAGGCUUUGACGGGUAGCCGGCCUGAGAGGGUGACCGGCAAAGUUGGGCCGAAGGUGCGCCCAGGACCCCACGGGGGGGAGGAAGGGGGAAGUUUGCAACAGGGGGGGGAGGCGGAAUGCGGCACCCCGGGGUGGGGGAGGACGGCUUUGGGUUUAAAACCCUGUUCCGCUUGUAACGAGGGGGGGGGGAGGGAAAGGGAAAAAGAAGCCCGGGCAAACUGGGGG
rnacentral:rRNA from 1 species